rnacentral:rRNA from 1 species
UACGUAGGGUGCGAGCGUUAAUCGGAAUUACUGGGCGUAAAGCGUGCGCAGGCGGUUAUUUAAGUCAGGUGUGAAAGCCCUGGGCUUAACCUAGGAAUUGCGCUUGAGACUGGAUAGCUUGGAGUGCGGCAGAGGGAGGUGGAAUUCCACGUGUAGCAGUGAAAUGCGUAGAGAUGUGGAGGAACACCGGUGGCGAAGGCGGCAUCCUGGACCAAUUCUGACGCUGAGGAGCGAAAGCCAGGGGAGCAAACGGG